rnacentral:other from 1 species
GCAACCCUGCUGUGUGCGUAAUGUAUCUGGCUGUUUGCUUCCAACACAAGAACACUGGGAGCCUAACUCUGCCACUGGCAUGGGGCCGCGCCGUAGCGCGGAUCGUAAAGGCGGCAGGAGGGCACCCACCUCGCGGAGCGGGGGAGAAACGGCCAGACAUACGGCAUGGUGGGGUUCUU